rnacentral:rRNA from 1 species
CCUACGGGAGGCAGCAGUGGGGAAUAUUGGACAAUGGGCGAAAGCCUGAUCCAGCCAUGCCGCGUGUGUGAAGAAGGCCUUCGGGUUGUAAAGCACUUUCAGUGGGGAAGAAAGCCUUGGGGCUAAUACCCUCGAGGAAGGACAUCACCCACAGAAGAAGCACCGGCUAACUCCGUGCCAGCAGCCGCGGUAAUACGGAGGGUGCGAGCGUUAAUCGGAAUUACUGGGCGUAAAGCGCGCGUAGGCGGUCUGAUAAGCCGGUUGUGAAAGCCCCGGGCUCAACCUGGGAACGGCAUCCGGAUCUGUCAGGCUAGAGUGCAGGAGAGGAAGGUAGAAUUCCCGGUGUAGCGGUGAAAUGCGUAGAGAUCGGGAGGAAUACCAGUGGCGAAGGCGGCCUUCUGGACUGACACUGACGCUGAGGUGCGAAAGCGUGGGUAGCAAACAGGAUUAGAUACCCGAGUAGUC